rnacentral:lncRNA from 1 species
ACGGGAAAGCUCCUUGGAACCUUGGUGGACAGGAUUUUAUUAGGAUUUAGUCAUAGAAGCAUUGAGCUCCAUAUGACUGACCUUAGCCCUAUUCAGUCUUCAGUACCACCACCCCCUACCCCCAGAUCUAACAGGUACAGUGUGGCCUAGGGCCCAAGGUAACGAAAAUAAGUUAAAUCACAAUGUCAGCAUAUUCUCUUUGGUGCGGACCAAGGCCUCAGGUUUACAAAGACACUGUCAGUAAGGAUAUUCCAGUGCUUUAGAGCUAAUCUCCCAGAAGCCUGUCAAGGGUCAUCCUGAAGACCUUUGGAUUGUGCAACGUUUGGAUAACCUCGGCCUGCUGAGUCAUCUCUUUUAGUGCGUGGUCAUGGUGCCAAAUACAGAGGCUUUUCACCUAAUUCUGAAUGCUGAAUUAUUUCUUUGGGGAAAGUGUCAAGGCAGUAUGGUUCCAUUGUCCUCAAAAUAUUGAACGGAAGCAGACAGCAUCACCUUACCUUGAACGGGCCUCUUCUGUGGUGUCUGAAUGCUAAAAGCAGGACAGUUCUUGGAGCGGGAAGAGGCGCCAACAGGCCUUGGACCUGGGGCCAAUGGAUCUCUCUACUCAUACAGUCUGGUGCAGAACCCUGGCGUAUUUGAGAAUUCAAAAUCUGAAUCUGGCCCGCAAUGAUGUUAUGAAUGGUACUUUUUAAGGAUUGUCAGGCUGCUCCAGCAUAAGAGCCAGCUGCUGCCCAAGCACGUGGACAAACAUGGGAACACGCUUCAAAUCUUUCACAGGUAUAAUUUUUCACUAUCUGCUAAACACGCUAGUUCACUAUCUGCUAAAAUCUAGCCGUUGAUUAUCUCCUUCCUGUCUGACCCUUUGUUUGAUUCUUUUGCUAUGGUUCCAGAAUUAAAUUUCAGUUGAUACUGUUGUGGUAAAUUUCAUGUCGAACUUUCACUCUCUGUAAUGUUUUCUAUUUUUCACCUUGCCAGACCUAAAUGAAAUUUUUCAUCCUUUUUCUAUUAAAACAGCUGUGACCCUUUCUCUGAAUAUAAAUUUGUUAACUUUGGAGUUGCCAAAUCUUGAAGACAUCUGUAUGUGUCUUUCCAUUUACACUAUUAAUUUGUUUAUAAACAUGUAGUGUGUGUACAGUAGUUCUUUACCAGAGUAUCGGAACUACUAUGCCAGGAUUGGAUUCCUAGUUCUGCCACUUCACUAUCUCUGUGACUUUUGGCAAAUUAGUUUUCUUAUCUGCAUCUCAGUUUUAUAAUCUAUAUUGGGGUUGAUUAUGAUAAUGAUGGAUAGUUACCGAGUUUUGUUACUUGUCAUUUAAAUCCUAUAAUAGGAAAAUAGUACCUACCGCUUUAGGUUGUGGUUAGUAUUAAGUGAGUUAAAUUUAUUGUGAAUAGAAUAAUAUCUGAACAGAAGUGCACAGUAAAUAUUAGGAAU